AUGUCAGUUGAGCAUGUUCCCGACAUAAGAUCAAAUUCACUGAAGGUAGGUUUGGAUGGUAUGUUUGCUAUUCUUGGUUUAUCUAUGUCUAAUUUGAGAGGACAAAGUUAUGAUGGGGCUUCAAACAUGAGAGGGGAAUUCUGUCGGUCGCAAAGAUUGAUCUUGGAAGAAAAUCCUUAUGCUCAUUAUAUACGUUGUUUUGCCCAUGAGUUACAAUUAGUGGUUGUUGCUGUUGCCAAGUGUUGUUCAUCAGUAAGGGAUUUUUUUGAAUACACAAGCAUGGUGGUUAACAUUGUUAAUGCUUCUUGUAAACGACAUGAUCAAUUGGCCCAAGAGCAACAUGAUGAAAUAGUGUGUCAAAUAGAGGCUGGGGAACUUCUUGUGGGAAAAGGGAAAAACCAAUUAACUAACCUUGCAAGACCCGAUGAUACACAGUGGGGAUCACAUCAUAAAACCUUGUGCCAUCUUGUUGAGAUGUGGAAACCAGUUUUAAAGGUAUUAGAAAAUCUACAUAAUGAUGCAGAUAAUGUUGCACAAAGAACCACAACCGCGGGAUUGAUAAAGCACAUGGAGUCCUUUGAAUUUGUUCUCAUAUUGCAUCUUAUGAUCACAUUAUUGGGAAGGCUAACAAUCUGUCACAAUGCUUGCAACUGA
rnacentral:rRNA from 1 species